CUUGACUUAGUCUAUGCUAAAGAUAAUGUGAAUGUCAAUACUAAUACAGAUAAUGGAAUUAAAUAAUAUCUUUAAGUACAAUUUAUUUAAUAUAUCCUUUAAAUCACUUCAAUUUAAAGAUACUUAUUUUGCCCUCACUAGGGUAGCCAGCUGGAUAGCAUCAGAUAGGGAUAGCCUACAGCAAAGUCCUAAAAUUCACUGUCUUUCUGACAUGUUUAUCUUUGCUGUUAUCUUGGGGGUGGUUUUGUGUUUAACCUGGCAAUGUACAUGACACUGGAAACUACUUCAGUAAGGCAGAUGCUGGGAAGCAGGCAGACAUGCAUCAUGUUUUGUUGCUGACAAAUGAGAACAGUGCUUCAGGCUUUAAAUGUGGCUGUGUCUUCAUUACAAAUUGCAGUUCUGCUGUUCUGGACACGUGCCUGCUGCUGCUAAAGCCAGAUGUUAGCACUAGAACUUUUCGUGGAUAAGACAGACAACCUGAUGCAAGUACUAAUAAUCCUGCGUGAUGAUCAUAAUUUCACUGAAACUUCUUUUGACAAUGUGUUUUGGCUCCUUAGCUACAGGUCCCAAUAACUUAACAGUCAUCCAAACACCAACAAAAAUACAUCUGUCAAUUGGAGACUCCACUGAAAUUGCCUGUAUUUGGGAAAAAUCAAUUAUAAGAUAUAGAAUAAGCUGGUAUCUUGUUACUAAAGAGAAUGUAACAAAAACUAUAUCAUCAAGCCUUCUCUAUUUACCCAACGUCACCCAUGACAACAAGGAUGUGCUAGUGCUAAAAACUGUCAACGUAAAUGACACUGGAUUUUACUACUGUGAGAUAAUUAUUGAAAUACCUUUCUGUAAAAAACUCUGUGGAAGUGGAACAACGUUGAUCGUUGAAGAGAAAGCAGCUCAGUCAUCGGAGAAGAAAGUUUUGGCAGUUUGGGCCAUCAUUCCUUUCUUAGUGGCAGUGGGAAGCUUGUAUUGCUGCUACAAAAAGAAACGGAACUCAAAACUUUCUGGUUCUGCCCCACUUCCUGUGCCAGAAGGAGGGCGUCAGGAGGAGCAGACCCUUGAGGCAGCAGAACUUUGUGGGAGAAAUGAAUCUACCAGUGAAGAAGCUGAAUGGGCUGUGUCUACACUUUAUGAAUCACUUGAUUCUUUCUACUAUGAAUCAAAGUAA
rnacentral:lncRNA from 1 species